rnacentral:tRNA from 1 species
CGCGGGGUGGUGGAAGGGUUACCAUUCAAGCCCCAUAAGCUUGAGGAACCGGUUCGAGUCCGGUCCCCGCAA